UGACUUAGAAUCUUGCAUCAUGCAUUCUAUUAGGAAUGAGAACUUUGGGUUUUGAUUGGCUGGAAUGCAUUCCAUUGUCCCUUUAUCCGAAGUCACAAUUGCUGCCUUCUGAAACAUUAGGUCUUGGUUGGAGCAAAUAGAUUAAUGCUGUCAAGAUCUCAGCUAGCUGCAUCAGCACUUGAAUCAUUAAUGCUUUUUCCUAGGAAGAUGACCAAGCCUUUUCUCUUAUCAUAACAAUAUGCGAUAACUGCUUAUUUGGUUAUUUUACAAGCUGCUUCUUAUUCUGUUACUUCUCUGGUGCUCCUGCUGACUAAGAUACUAUUAUAAAUUCCAGAGACAUUUGAUACAGAAUGAGAUGACUAUGCAAGGAAUAUUGUGGUUUUUAAAAGAAGUACUGACUCCUCUUGACCAUCCUGAGUUAUUGAUGAUCUUGAAGACUGUCUUCUUGACCACCCUGAGUUUUGGUUGACCCUGAAGACCGUCCUCUUGACUACCCUGAGUUUUGGUCAACCCUGAAGACUGUCCUCUUGACCAUCUUGAGUUAUAGUCCAUCUUGAAGACUGUCCUCUUGACCAUCUUGAGUUAUAGUCCAUCUUGAAGACUGUAAUACCUUUCCUCCUCUACCACAUGUGGAGGAUGAACGGAGAGGAGCUGUGUAUGGUGUUACAUGCUAACUUCAGCACUUAGUGUGUGGAUACAGGAUCAGGAGUUCAAGGCCAGCCUUGGCUACAUGAAACCUUGUCUUAAAAUAUUCAUUAGAAAAAAAAAAGUUAAGUGUCCCAGGCACAUUCACAGAGCAAGAUGCUGCACUGACAAUGUUAUUUUAAACUUCCUGUCUGUCUGGUAAGGUUUUUCUAAGUCUCACUUUUUAAUCUCUCAUAGUAGCUGGCGAGUUGGAGGAAAGGAAAAGAGGAAAUAAAUAAAAAUCCUCCAGCAGCCUAUUCUUAGAGUUCGCUGCUUGGAUAAAAGUUAGACAUGAAAGAGGUGCAAUUCAUACACUGCGAGUCUCUGAGGCCUUUGAAAAAUAGACCGUCUAAGCAGGAAUGCCUAAGCGCGAAGGGUUUCUUGAAAAUUGCUCUUUCCUUCCAGCAAGGGGAAGGAAAGAAAGUUGAGCCCUAGCUUGCUUAUGUGCGUCCGUAAGUCUUGAUGUCUAUUUACACAUGGUGGAGUAUUCCCCCCUUUCUCUGAGCUGACACCAGCUUGUAUACGGGAACACUCGGUGGAUUACAGCUGGUGACAGUUUGCUGCUGACUGGGCCACAGGAAAAACAAUCAGCAUCAAGUCUGCAUUUUUCCCUGGCCGGGGCCUCUGUCUUGGCUGUCAUCCUCUAUCGAUCAGGUGAACCCCAGGGCAGGACUGGGCACCCUGAAAUGCAGAGGGGCUUGUCCUGCAGUGACCGUGCUUAGCGACUAAAGAGCUCCAAAGGGAACAAUGUCAGAGCUACUCGCUCUCUCUCGACACAAGACACGGAAGCCGCCGUGUUUGCUUAACUGAAGGCCUGCCACCCACUGCUUGGCUAACUGCAGCUUACGGAUAUGUGGGAAAGAUUCAGACACAAUGAAAAGAGAAAGGCCAGCGUUGAGUCUACCUACACACUGCCACAGAGUUCACAGAUCUGACCUGAGAGACACUGGGGCUGUCCUCGCCUAGACAGACCGCCAGGCAUCUGGACUGAGGCUGCAUGGGAAUGCCUGUGUAAAAUCGACUCUACUUCGUUAGGCUCAAGGAAGAAACCACCAAAAUAAUUUGACUUUCACUUGAACCAUAUUGAAAACAGGACCUGAAGAGUAAAAGAAAACCUUUGACAUUAACCAUUGCUUCCUUUCAACAGAAUAGUACAUUGUCCUGAGAAUUAAACAGUACACUGGAAUAAGAA